rnacentral:rRNA from 1 species
UACGUAGGGGGCAAGCGUUGUCCGGAAUCAUUGGGCGUAAAGGGCGCGUAGGCGGCCUGAUCAGUCGGGGGUGAAAGCCUGUGGCUCAACCACAGAAUGGCCUUCGAUACUGGCGGGCUUGAGACCGGAAGAGGUAAGUGGAACUGCGAGUGUAGAGGUGAAAUUCGUAGAUAUUCGCAAGAACACCAGUGGCGAAGGCGGCUUACUGGUCCGGAUCUGACGCUGAGGCGCGAAAGCGUGGGGAGCAAACAGG